rnacentral:miRNA from 1 species
CCUUGAAUCACUUGGAAAUUUUGUUAGAAUGCAGAUUCUGAUUCAGUAGAUCAAGGAAGUCCUGAGAAUCUCCAUUUCUAGUAAGUUUUCAGUGUUCUAUU